CCUACGGGAGGCAGCAGUGAGGAAUAUUGGUCAAUGGCCGGAAGGCUGAACCAGCCAUGCCGCGUGAAGGUCAGUGCCCUAUGGGCGUUAAACUUCUUUUGUGCGGGAGCAAUAAUGGUCACGUGUGGCCAGACGAGAGUACCGUACGAAUAAGCAUCGGCUAACUCCGUGCCAGCAGCCGCGGUAAUACGGGGGAUGCAAGCGUUAUCCGGAUUUAUUGGGUUUAAAGGGUGCGUAGGCUGUGAGGUAAGUCAGCGGGGAAAUGCCCCCGCUCAAAGGGGUGAAGUGCCAUUGAUACUGCCUUGCUGGAAUGCGGAUGCCGUGGGAGGAAUGUGUGGUGUAGCGGUGAAAUGCAUAGAUAUCACACAGAACACCAAUUGCGAAGGCAUCUCACGAAUCCGCGAUUGACGCUGAUGCACGAAAGCGUGGGUAUCAAACAGGAUUAGAUACCCUUGUAGUC
rnacentral:rRNA from 1 species